rnacentral:rRNA from 1 species
CCUACGGGUGGCAGCAGUGGGGAAUAUUGCACAAUGGGGGAAACCCUGAUGCAGCAACGCCGCGUGAGUGAGGAAGUAUUUCGGUAUGUAAAGCUCUAUCAGCAGGGAGUAGAAAAGAAGGUACAUGAAAAAGAAGCCUCGGCUAACUACGUGCCAGCAGCCGCGGUAAUACGUGGGGGGCAAGCGUUGUCCGGAUUUACUGGGUGUAAAGGGAGCGGAGACGGAAAGGCGAGUCAGAAGUGAAAACCCAAGGCUCAACCAUGGAACUGCUUUUGAGACUGUCAAACUAGAGUACGGGAGAGGGAGGUGGAAUUCCUUGUGUAGCGGUGAAAUGCGUAGAUAUGAGGAGGAACACCAGUGGCGAAGGCGUCUUACUGGACCAAAACUGACGUUGAGGCUCGAAGGCGUGGGGAGCAAACAGGAUUAGAUACCCGAGUAGUC